rnacentral:SRP_RNA from 1 species
AGGCGGUGGAGGAGGCGGAGGCGCUCGUCAAGCGCCUGUCGGUCGAGACGGGCGUGAUGCCCGUGGCUCACGAGAUGCCCCUCGACGUGUGAGUCAGUGUACAUAGCUCGGUAGAUCUUUCU